AAAUAAGAAUUAAUACUUAAAUUAAAUUUAAUUUCGACUUAAUCAUAGGAUACUUUUCCCUUAUUUU
rnacentral:tRNA from 1 species